UCGACGGACAGAUACGACAUCGUUUGGACUCCGUGAGUCGCCGAGAGAAGAGUUGAUUUGACGAAAAUACCCCUAAAAGCGGGCAGUUUGUAUACGUGUCUCUUAUUAAAGGCCAAAUCCCACCACUUCGCCCAGACACUCGUCACCCACGCUUUCGAACGUGCCAUUUUUCUCGAGCAUCCCGAUCCCGGGAGAAGGGGAAUCUGCUUUUCUCGAAUUCCAUACACACAGGCGACCACAAUACGCAAGUCUCACAAACUCUCUGCAUACGAACCUACUGAGGAUCUGGAUCAACUACAGCGAGCGCGGAGCUCGCCGGAAGUCGCGAUGCCAGGCUCGUCCGAGAAUUGCCGUAACUAUUCAUCUUCUUCGUUGAGUUCCGAUGACGCCUCGGUGAAAAUAGAGCGCCAAAUGGGAGAAGAAAGUAGUAGCGACGGCGCUAAAGAGCUACGGAACAGAGAGGCACCUGGUAGUGGCUCUGCGGAUAAUGGAGGCACUGAAUCUUCAGGUCCUGGUGAUAGAAAUGUUUUUAGGAUGAACACAAUGCCAGUGGAUAUUUCAAAAAUUGAAAAAAUGGAAUCAAGUUCAGAUUAUCCAAAGUUUGAUAAAGCAAAAACUGAGAGGCAGAGACGUCACAACAUACUUGCUGAAGAGGCUGCACAGAUUUUUGAUGAUAAGAUUUCUGCUCACCAGAAGCUUAAAUUGUUGAACAGAAUAGCUACUGUUAAGGGUGACGGGACAGUGGAAUUUGAAGUUCCUGUAGAUGUUGAGCCUCAGGUCCUUGGUGUUAGGUCUAAUGAAGCUACUGUUGCUGCUACUGAGCCCAUUGAUGUGCCAGAUGUUGAGUAUAGACCUCCAUUGCAAAUUGUAAUGCUUAUUGUUGGAACUCGAGGGGAUGUACAGCCAUUUGUUGCAAUUGGCAAACGUCUGCAGGAUUACGGCCAUAGAGUGAGACUUGCAACACAUUCAAAUUUCAAAGAGUUUGUCUUGACUGCAGGAUUGGAAUUUUAUCCUCUAGGAGGAGAUCCAAAAGUUCUUGCUGGUUACAUGGUUAAAAACAAAGGAUUUCUGCCAUCCGGCCCUUCAGAGAUACCAAUUCAAAGAAAUCAAAUAAAGGAAAUAAUAUACUCCUUACUUCCAGCUUGCAAAGAACCUGAUCUAGAUUCUGGCAUUCCCUUUAAAGCUGACGCGAUAAUUGCAAAUCCCCCAGCAUAUGGGCAUACACAUGUGGCGGAGGCACUAAAAAUACCAAUUCAUAUAUUUUUCACAAUGCCAUGGACGCCAACUAGUGAGUUUCCUCAUCCUUUGUCCCGUGUCAAGCAACCUGCUGGGUAUCGGCUUUCAUAUCAAAUUGUUGACUCGUUGAUUUGGCUUGGGAUACGGGACAUGAUAAAUGAUUUAAGGAAAAAAAAACUGAAGCUACGGCCUGUUACGUAUUUAAGUGGUUCCCAAGGUCAUGAUUCUGAUAUACCGCAUGGAUAUAUUUGGAGUCCACAUCUUGUUCCUAAACCAAAAGAUUGGGGUCCUAAGAUUGAUGUGGUAGGGUUUUGCUUCCUUGAUCUUGCAUCAAAUUAUGAACCUCCUGAAUCACUUCUAGAAUGGCUUAAAGCUGGUACAAGGCCUAUUUAUGUUGGAUUCGGUAGCCUUCCUGUUGAAGAGCCAGAAAAAAUGACUCAGAUAAUCGUGGAAGCACUUCAAGAAACCGGACAGAGAGGCAUCAUCAACAAAGGGUGGGGUGGCCUUGGGAACUUGGCUGAACCGAAGGACUUCAUAUAUUUAUUGGACAAUUGCCCUCAUGACUGGCUAUUCUUACAGUGCAAGGCUGUUACAGGUAGGAAGAAUUGCUCUUUGUUUUCUCCAACCUUCAUUGCACGGAGAAUUGAGGUGUAGAGCUGGUCGUAUCAGCCUUGUCUUUCUUAUGACUUUGUCUAUUGAUCUUCUCUUAAGUUCUGUCUCCUGUUCAUCCCUUCGAACUUCCGCCUUUCCAAAACAAAAAGAGGACAAUUACUGUUGAAGAGGUCAAGCAGAAUAGCACAAUUACCACUCUCUUUGUCGGAUUUAAGAAGAGGAUGUUAGCCAAGUGGUUCAGACAAGCCAUUUGCAGUGUGACUUAAGACUUAACACUGACGAAUUUCAUCCAGGGAAGUUCUCUAGUGUAAAGCUUUAUCAGUCCAGGCAUAUUAUUAUUGGUUAAUCAUUUUGUAUGACUAUGUUUUCCUAGGUAGGAUCUGGUUGAAGAUGAAGGUUAUCUGCGACGGUCAUGACUGUUUUAUGACAUUUGAAUUACUAAGAAAGUAGAGCACAAAUGAUUAAGAAAGUAGGUGACAAUCAACCCAAGUUGCUGGAUGUUGUCUUAAAUUAUUAAUAUUCUUGAAAGUUCCUUGCUGAUCACCACAAAUAUUGGAAAAGUAGGGGCAUGUUCUGAGAGGAGAAUGACAGACAGCAUUACUGUUUCUCUUAUGCUUCACUAAAUGGGAUGCUUUCUUGGCUAUUUCCUUUUUGCAGUGGAGUGGCAAUAGACAGCUCUGCUGCUUUUAUUGUAAGAGAGUGCUACUAUCCUGCUUCACUAAAUGGGAACAGUCUCUUGGCUGUUUUCUUAUUGAAUCAUAUUUACAUGAAGUGCAAGCUUUAGAUGGUUAUUGGUGAUGGCAUGAUAUUAGGCUAUGUUGAGGACCUGGGAACUCCAAUUCCACUCUAAUAAUUAACUUCUAUGUUUGUUAAUCUGAGGUAGUCCUGGCCUUGUCAUUGCCAGCAAAGGUGCUAUGUUUUGUAAUUUGUUUUCAGGUUCAUCAUGGGGGUGCUGGGACAACUGCUGCUGGACUUAAAGCUGCGUGCCCGACAACCAUUGUACCUUUCUUUGGCGACCAACCUUUCUGGGGAGAGCGGGUACAUGCCAGAGGAGUUGGUCCUCCUCCUAUUCCAGUGGAUGAAUUCUCACUUCCCAAGUUGAUUAAUGCAAUAAAUUUCAUGCUCCGCCCUGAGGUGAAAGAGCGUGCUGUUGAGCUUGCAAAAGCGAUGGAGAAUGAGGAUGGGGUAACUGGAGCGGUGAAAGCUUUCCUUAAGCAUCUCCCUCCAAUAAAGGCUGAGGCUGAACCAUCACCUGAACCUUCAAACCUUUUCUCAAUCAGACGAUGUUUUGGUUGUUCUUGACUCUAACUCAGUUGCAGAUUUUUGCUGCACAAUGGAAAUUGCUUUUCUACUAACCAAGGCAUAAUUCUCUUGUUGUGAAUCCUAUAAUACGGAUUCUCAUUUCUUCUCCCAUAGAUGCGAGUAUUUUCAUUUGUUACAGACACUAUAAAUCAUGUAAAAGACACAAGGAACAUUUGUACAAAAGCCUUCAUUUAUUUGGUUUCUCCGGUGUCUCACCUCAAUUAACUAGUUUGACCGCA